GAAAUGCGAUAAGUAGUGUGAAUUGCAGAAUUCAGUGAAUCAUCGAAUCUUUGAACGCACAUUGCGCCCUUUGGUAUUCCUUAGGGCAUGCCUGUUCGAGCGUCAUUUGUAACCUCAAGCUUAGCUUUGUGUUGGGUGUCUGUCCCCGCCCCGCGCGGGGACUCGCCUCAAAAACAUUGGCGGCCGGUACGUUGGCUUCGAGCGCAGCAGAAACGCGAACUCGAGGCCCGACGGAUCGGCGACCAGAAGUCACUUCUUCCACAGCUUGACCUCGGAUCAGGUAGGGAUACCCGCUGAACUUAAGC
rnacentral:misc_RNA from 1 species